rnacentral:rRNA from 1 species
GACGAACGCUGGCGGCGUGCUUAACACCUGCAAGUCGAUCGGAGUGGCGAACGGGUGAGUAACACGUGGGUGACCUGCCCUGCACUUCGGGAUAAGCCUGGGAAACUGGGUCUAAUACCGGAUAGUGUGGGUUGGGCCCGCGGCCUAUCAGCUUGUUGGUGGGGUAAUGGCCUACCAAGGCGGCGACGGGUAUCCGGCCUGAGAGGGUGGACGGCCAAAUUGGGACUGGGCUACCGCCCAGACUCCUACGGGGGGCAGCAGUGGGGAAUAUGGCACAAUGGGCGGAAGCCUGAUGCAGCGACGCCGCGUGUGGGAUGACGGCCUUCGGGUUGUAAACUCCUUUCACCAUCGACGCGGUAGAUGGAGAAGAAGCACGGGCUAACGACGUGCCAGCAGCCGCGGUAAUUC